rnacentral:rRNA from 1 species
GUCCUCAUGGCCCUUAUGGGUUGGGCUACACACGUGCUACAAUGGCGGUGACAGUGGGAUGCGAAGUCGCAAGAUGGAGCCAAUCCCCAAAAGCCGUCUCAGUUCGGAUUGCACUCUGCAACUCGGGUGCAUGAAGUUGGAAUCGCUAGUAAUCGCGGAUCAGCACGCCGCGGUGAAUACGUUCCCGGGCCUUGUACACACCGCCCGUCACACCAUGGGAGUUGGCUUUACCCGAAGGUGGUGCGCUAACCCGCAAGGGAGGCAGCCAACCACGGUCAGGUCAGCGACUGGGGUGAAGUCGUAACAAGGUAGCCGUAGGGGAACCUGCGGCUGGAUCACCUCCUUUCUAAGG